AUUGAACGCUGGCGGCAUGCCUUACACAUGCAAGUCGAACGGCAGCACGGGGCAACCUGGUGGCGAGUGGCGAACGGGUGAGUAAUGCAUCGGAACGUACCUUUCAGUGGGGGAUAACGUAGCGAAAGUUACGCUAAUACCGCAUAUUCUGUGAGCAGGAAAGCAGGGGAUCGCAAGACCUUGCGCUGAUUGAGCGGCCGAUGUCAGAUUAGCUAGUUGGAGAGGUAAAGGCUCACCAAGGCGACGAUCUGUAGCGGGUCUGAGAGGAUGAUCCGCCACACUGGAACUGAGACACGGUUCAGACUCCUACGGGAGGCAGCAGUGGGGAAUUUUGGACAAUGGGGGCAACCCUGAUCCAGCCAUGCCGCGUGAGUGAAGAAGGCCUUCGGGUUGUAAAGCUCUUUCGGCCGGGAAGAAAUCGCACGGGCUAAUACCCUGUGUGGAUGACGGUACCGGAAUAAGAAGCACCGGCUAACUACGUGCCAGCCGCCGCGGUAACAC
rnacentral:rRNA from 1 species